CCCUUAGAUGUCCUGGGCUGCACGCGCGCUACACUGAUGUGUCCAGUAAGCACCUAACCUCUUCCGAAAGGAACGGGUAACCUUUGCAAAGCACAUCGUGAUGGGGAUAGAUUAUUGCAAUUAUUAGUCUUGAACGAGGAAUUCCUAGUAAACGCAAGUCAUCAGCUUGCAUUGAUUACGUCCCUGCCCUUUGUACACACCGCCCGUCGCACCUACCGAUUGAAUGGUCCGGUGAAAUCUUCGGAUUGAGACUUUGAUUUCUUCACGGAAAACGCUGUUUUAAGAAGUUGAUUAAACCUUACCAUUUAGAGGAAGGUGAAGUCGUAACA
rnacentral:rRNA from 1 species